rnacentral:rRNA from 1 species
UGGGGAAUAUUGGACAAUGGGCGCAAGCCUGAUCCAGCAAUGCCGCGUGUGUGAAGAAGGCCUUCGGGUUGUAAAGCACUUUUAUCAGGAGCGAAACGCUGUCGGCUAAUACCCGGCGGAACUGACGGUACCUGAGGAAUAAGCACCGGCUAACUUCGUGCCAGCAGCCGCGGUAAUACGAAGGGUGCAAGCGUUAAUCGGAAUUACUGGGCGUAAAGCGUGCGUAGGCGGUUUCUUAGGUCUGCUGUGAAAUCCCCGGGCUCAACCUGGGAAUGGCAGUGGAUACUGGGAGGCUAGAGUGUGUCAGAGGGUGGUGGAAUUCCCGGUGUAGCGGUGAAAUGCGUAGAGAUCGGGAGGAACAUCAGUGGCGAAGGCGGCCACCUGGGACAACACUGACGCUGAGGCACGAAAGCGUGGGGAGCAAACAGGAUUAGAUACCCUGGUAGUCCACGCCCUAAACGAUGCGAACUGGAUGUUGGUCUCAACUCGGAGAUCAGUGUCGAAGCUAACGCGUUAAGUUCGCCGCCUGGGGAGUACGGUCGCAAGACUGAAACUCAAAGGAAUUGACGGGGUCAUAGCUGUUUCC